rnacentral:rRNA from 1 species
UACGAAGGGGGCUAGCGUUGCUCGGAAUCACUGGGCGUAAAGGGUGCGUAGGCGGGUUUUUAAGUCAGAGGUGAAAUCCUGGAGCUCAACUCCAGAACUGCCUUUGAUACUGAAAGUCUUGAGUAUGGGAGAGGUGAGUGGAACUGCGAGUGUAGAGGUGAAAUUCGUAGAUAUUCGCAAGAACACCAGUGGCGAAGGCGGCUCACUGGCCCAUAACUGACGCUGAGACGCGAAAGCGUGGGGAGCAAACAGG